rnacentral:rRNA from 1 species
CCUACGGGAGGCAGCAGUGAGGAAUAUUGGUCAAUGGACGAGAGUCUGAACCAGCCAAGUAGCGUGAAGGAUGACUGCCCUAUGGGUUGUAAACUUCUUUUAUAUGGGAAUAAAAUGUUCCACGUGUGGCCUUUUGUAUGUACCCUAUGAAUAAGGAUCGGCUAACUCCGUGCCAGCAGCCGCGGUAAUACGGAGGAUCCAAGCGUUAUCCGGAUUUAUUGGGUUUAAAGGGAGCGUAGGUGGUGUGUUAAGUCAGUUGUGAAAUGUUGCGGCUCAACCGUAAAAUUGCAGUUGAUACUGGUAGUCUAGAGUACAGGAGAGGUGGGCGGAAUGCGUGGUGUAGCGGUGAAAUGCUUAGAUAUCACGAAGAACUCCGAUUGCGAAGGCAGCUUACUGGACUGCAACUGACACUGAGGCACGAAAGUGUGGGUAGCAAACAGGAUUAGAUACCCCAGUAGUC